AUUGAACGCUAGCGGCAUGCUUUACACAUGCAAGUCGAACGCGUGGCGGACGGGUGAGUAAUAUAUCGGAACGUGCCCAGUAGCGGGGGAUAACUACUCGAAAAAGUGGCUAAUACCGCAUACUAUGGGAUGGGCCGAUAUGGGAUUAGCUAGUUGGUGGGGUAAAGGCUCACCAAGGCCACGAUCCGUAGCUGGUUUGAGAGGAUGACCAGCCACACUGGGACUGAGACACGGCCCAGACUCCUACGGGAGGCAGCAGUGGGGAAUUUUGGACAAUGGGGGAAACCCUGAUCCAGCCAUGCCGCGUGUAUGAGAAGGCCUUCGGGUUGUAAAGUACUUUUGGCAGAGAGGCGGUAUCUGCAGAAUAAGCACCGGCUAACUCCGUGCCAGCAGCCGCGGUAAUUC
rnacentral:rRNA from 1 species